ensembl:snoRNA
UUUGCCCCUUGAGGCGUUGCAGCCCAACUCGCCGUGUUGCCGCUGUGUCAGAAGGGGCGCAGACCAACCGCUGGCGGUUUGAGGCUCCGAACUCUCCAGCUCUGAGAGACUCGGACUCGAACGCCAUCGACACG